rnacentral:rRNA from 1 species
AGUCAAUAGAUACCCAGGUAGUCCAUGCCGUAAACGAUGAUUGCUAGGUGUGGGGGGUCUGACCCCUUCCGUGCCGGAGUUAAACACAAUAAGCAAUCCACCUGGGGAGUACGGCCGCAAGGUUGAAACUCAAAGGAAUUGACGGGGGCCCGCACAAGCAGUGGAGUAUGUGGUUUAAAUUCGAAGCAACGCGAAGAACCUUACCAGGUCUUGACAUCCACCGAAUCCUGUAGAGAUACGGGAGUGCCCUUCGGGGAACGGUGAGACAGGUGGUGCAUGGUUGUCGUCAGCUCGUGUCGUGAGAUGUUGGGUUAAGUCCCGCAACGAGCGCAACCC